UAAAGCAUGCGGAUCCCUGUGGCACAUAUGCAGCAUCAUAGAGCAUGAUACAGCUGUAGAUGGACAGUCAUCAAACAUAUGCACCAUACAAGUCCUAUCAUAUAUGUCAUGCACAUUGUUUAAUGACUGUCUAUCUUUUGAUAAUGGCUAUCGACAGCCAUAUGUAUGAUGCAUGCUGCACUACAGAAAAUCCAUGCUUCUUUGUUAAAAUUUUAUCCAACAUC
rnacentral:lncRNA from 1 species